rnacentral:rRNA from 1 species
AUGGAGCAGGUGGCCGGCCAAGAAGCGCAGUCCACAAAGAAACCGGCCGUGAAGGUGACGCUCCGGCGGUUCGGCCUCCACGACGUGGACGCCAUGAUGGCGUGGGCGUCGGACCCGCAGGUGGCCGCCCCCUGCCGCUGGGAGCCCUACGAGUCCACGGAGCCCCUGCUCGCCUUCAUCCGGGACGCCGUGCUGCCGCAUCCCUAGUUCUGCGCCAUCUGCCUCGCCGGCGACGACCGCCCCGUCGGCGCGAUCUCCGUGUCGCCGACGGACGACGCCCGCCGCACGGAGCUCGGGUACGUGCUGGCGCGCGAGCACUGGGGGAAGGGCGUGGCCGCGGCGGCCGUGUGCAGGGCGGUGGCCGCGGUGUUCAGCGAGGUGGAGGGGCUGCAGCGCGUGGAGGCGUUGGUGGACGUGGCGAACGUGGUGUCGCAGCGGGUGCUGGAGAAGGCCGGGUUUCGGCGGGAGGCUGUGAUGAGGCGGUACUCCGUGCUCGAGGGCGCCGUCAAGGACAUGGUCAUCUUCAGCUUCAUCUCCACCCGACACUGUGCUGGUCGAAUGAUUGGUGUGAUAAUUCAGCUUGAUGUAUAUCCACGCGAAAAGAAAAUUUCAUAA